UUCGCGACAUUUAUCACUUUUUCGCUAAUAACGACUGGACAAAACUCGCGACAAUUGUUGUACUGAUACCCGACACAGCAUUUGUGUCGUUUUUUCAUGUAAAGGUAAUUUUGAUGUCUAAGAUUAAAGGUAACGUUAAGUGGUUUAAUGAAUCCAAAGGAUUCGGUUUCAUUACUCCGGAAGAUGGCAGCAAAGACGUGUUCGUACACUUCUCUGCAAUCCAGAGCAAUGGUUUCAAAACCCUGGCCGAAGGUCAGCGCGUUGAGUUUGAAAUCACUAACGGUGCCAAAGGCCCAUCUGCUGCUAACGUAAUGCCUGUUUAAUCAGCGCGUACAGCAAGAAUUCCAAAACCCGCCGCAAGGCGGGUUUUUUAUU
rnacentral:sRNA from 1 species